CCUACGGGCGGCAGCAGUGGGGAAUAUUGCACAAUGGGGGAAACCCUGAUGCAGCGACGCCGCGUGAGUGAAGAAGUACUUCGUUAUGUAAAGCUCUAUCAGCCGGGAAGAAAAUGACGGUACCUGAGUAAGAAGCCCCGGCUAACUACGUGCCAGCAGCCGCGGUCAUACGUAGGGGGCAAGCGUUAUCCGGAUUGACUGGGUGGAAAGGGAGCGUAGACGGCAGUGCAAGUCUGGAGUGAAAGGCGGGGGCUCAACCCCCGGACUGCUCUGGAAACUGGACGGCUGGAGUGCAGGAGAGGUAAGUGGAAUUCCUAGUGUAGCGGUGAAAUGCGUAGAGAUUAGGAGGAACACCAGUGGCGAAGGCGACUUACUGGACUCUAACUGACGUUGAGGCGCGAAAGCGUGGGGAGCAAACAGGAUUAGAUACCCCUGUAGUC
rnacentral:rRNA from 1 species